GGGGACACAGGAGUGAAACAGAGCCGGCAGCACUUUGUGGACACCUUUCUGAGAGCACAAGAGCUGUCCAUCACCCAGAUUAAGAAAUCAGGCUGAAGAGGCAGAAAACUGGCAUGGCUCAGCAAGGACUGCUUGUCAGACUGAGGGACAAAAAGGAAAGUAUAGUCAUUAGAAGCAGAGAUGAGAGGCCUUGAAGAAUGUAGGGGUGUUGUCCAGAUGUGCAGGGAUGUGAUCAGGAAAGCCGAGGUGCAGGCGGAAUUAAACUUGGUGAGGGAGGUGAAAAACAACUAGAAGGGUUUCUUAAGAUAUACUGGCCAGAAGAAACAGGCAAAGGACCCCUUCAAUAAAAUGAAAAAGAGAGCUGGCCUCUCUGGACAUGGAAAAGACUGGGGUACUUAAUGAGUUCUUUGCCUUGUUUUUCUUUGCUAGUCAGGUUCCCAUGCCUCUCGUGUCCCUGAACCUCUAAGCAGGGGUUGGAAGAGCAAAAUCGCUCCCAGUGUAAGAGCAGAGCAAGUCUGAGACACUUCAUGAAGCUGAAUGUGUACAAUUUUAUGGGGCCUGAUGAUACGCAUCACAGGGUUCUGAGGGGAUUGGCUGAUGUGGUCGCCAAGCUGCUCUCCCCCAUAUUUGAAAAAUUGUGGCUGUCAGGUGAAGGCAAAAAGAAAAAGAACAUAAUCACUUCAAUUUUUAAGAAAGGCAGAAAGGAAGACCUGGGGAACUACAACCUGGUGAGCCUCACAUCUAUGCCUGGGAAGGUCAUGGAGCAGAUACUCCUGGAAGAUAUGUUAAGGCACAUGCAAGAAGAGGAGGUGAUCCAAAAACUGCCAGAACAGCUCCACCAAGGGAAGGUCGUGCCUAACCAAUCUGGAGGCCUUCUAUGUUGAAGUGACAGCAUCAAUGGCAAAGGAAGGGCAACUUAUGUCAUCUUAUUGUCUUAGGGAAACUUAUCUCUAACAUUGCAGAGAGAUCUAUUUGAAGGCUUGACUAUUAGAUGGAUAAAGAAUUGGUUGGAUAGCUGUAGCCAGAGGGUUGUUGUAAAUGGCUAUAUGUCCAGGUUGAAGCCAGCAAUGUGCAGUGUCCCCCAGGAGUCCAUCUUGGGACUGGUGCUCUUCAACAUCUUUAUCAACAACAUACAGAGUGGGAUUGAGUGUACCCUCAGCACAUUUGCAGAUGACACCAAGCUGAGUAAUGCAGUUGACACAAAAGAAAGGAUGCUACCCAAAGAGAUAUGUACAGGCUCAAAAAGUGGCACACAAGAACCUAACAAGGUUUGACAAGGCAAAGUGCAAGGUGCUGCACUUAGGUUGAGGUAAUCCCAGAUAUAUAUAUGGAUCUGGAGAAGAACUCACUGAGAGCAGCCUCGUGGAGAAGGGCUGUGGAGUCCUGAUGGACGAAAAGCUGAACUUGAAUCAGCAGUGCGUACUUGUAGCCCAGAAGGCCAACAGUAUCCUGGACUACAUCAAAAGAGUAGUAGCCAGCAGGGAAAGGCAAAUCAUUUUCCCCCUCUACUCUGCCCUAAUGAGACCUCAUCUGGAGACCUGUGUUCAAGCCUGUGGCCCCCAGUACAGGAAGGAUGCAGUGCAGUUGGUGCCAGUCCAGGAGGGCUAUGAACAUGAUCAAAUGGCUGGAGUACCUCUCCUGUGAAGAAAGGCUGAGGGAGUUGGGGUUGUUCAGCCUGGAGAAGAAAAGGCUCCAGGAAGACAUCACUGUGGCCUUCCAGAACUUGAAGGGAGCUUAUACACACAAAGAGGAGUGACUUUUUACAUGGUUUGAUAGUGAUAGGACAAAUGGAAAUGACUUUAAAUUAAAAGAGGGGAAAUUUAGGUUAGACGUUAGUGAAAAAUUAUUUACUCAGAGUGUGGUGAUGUGCUGGAACAGGUCACCUAGAGAAGCUGCUGAUGCUCCAUCCCUGGAGGUGCCCAAAGCCAAGUUGUACAGAGCCCCGUGCAGGCUGAUGUGAUGCUGCUGAGUAAAACAAGGAUCCAGAGUCUUGCAUAAUAAAAUGAAUGCUGUUCUGCUGCCUGUCUGCCCAGGACAGAAGGUUUCCUUGUCUAGCAGAAAAAACUGAAAGGCUGCCUAACACUGCCACCUUGGGAUGCCUACACACCAUCCAAAUUCUUAAACUUUGCUAAACCAGUCUUUCAGUUCACAUUUUUCUAAGUACAUUUUAGAAAGAACACAGAGAAUCAUGUAUAUGUACAAUACUCUAAGAGCUAUCAAUUGCCUUUCAAACAAAUUAUUUUCAGGACUAUAAAGUCUUUAAAACUUUUUAAAACUUUAAAACUUUUCUCUCAAAAACACGGUAUGUUUUAGGCUCCCCAAAUAAGCUACUGGACUUGGAACUUGACUUCAAAGACAUCAACUACAAUUGUGUUUUAUCAGUUCAAGUAAGACUUAAAUUUGAAGAACUGAAACAACCCACUUUAGCCAAGUAAAUCCCUUUUGUCAAACUCAGCUCUACCACAGUUAUUUCAGAUAGGAGAUUUUUGCAGAUAGCCCUGGAAGAGGAGGACACAGGACCAGUCAUUUGAGUGACAAGAGCUUGUUGUUCACAAACUACAGCAUCAGCUUCCUUAUGUCAGGGAGUUAAGAAACUGACUACAUUUGCUGUUUGCAAUUGUUUAACACUGGCCUGGGAGUCACUAAGGGCUUGUAACUGUGGGCAAUUUGCAGACUGUGGCUAAUACAAGCACUUAGAGCUGUUAAUUCCAGCCCACCUUCACAUCUUGAGCUGCUGUCAACAAUACCCUGAGGUGAGGCAGUCUUCCUGCCAGCCAGCAGGGCCUAGCUGGGCUGAGAGGACUCUCCUCCAUCCUCCUACUGCUGCCCUGCACCAGGCCUAAUGAGAUCCCAGCAGCAGGGCAUCUUUGGUGAGGCACAUAGUGCAGUACCAGGGGCACAGCAGAACUGCUCCACUGAAGCUAAACCAGUGUGGGUUUCAGCAGUUCAAGACUGAAUGCUUAGUAGACCAGGGAACAUAGGCUUCAUGAGAUGGGAUAGAAAUGGCUGUCAGGUGACACUGACUGCUUCUGAGGGAGCUUGUGCUGGAGAUAAGGGUAGUUUUACACUGUCAUGAAGGAAGACAAAAUGGCGCUGAAAUGGUGCUGGUGCUGAAAAAGCUGUUAUUCAGGAACAUGCUGCCUACUGACAUCGUAUACAGUAGGAAACCCUCUGUACAGAUGAAGCCUUCAACUGCCAUCAAUAAAAACUGGCUUCAAUAAAAAAUGUGCAGCCUCA